rnacentral:tRNA from 1 species
GGAUUAUGGCUUAGUGGUUGAGGGCUUGCCUUGUAUGCAUGAGGCACUGGGUUCGAUCCUCAGCACCA